GAUGAACGCUGGCGGCGUGCUUAACACAUGCAAGUCGAACGGAAAGGCCUCUGCUUGCAGAGGUACUCGAGUGGCGAACGGGUGAGUAACACGUGGGUGAUCUGCCCUGCACUUCGGGAUAAGCCUGGGAAACUGGGUCUAAUACCGGAUAGGACGAUGGUUUGGAUGCCAUUGUGGAAAGUUUUUUCGGUGUGGGAUGAGCUCGCGGCCUAUCAGCUUGUUGGUGGGGUAAUGGCCUACCAAGGCGUCGACGGGUAGCCGGCCUGAGAGGGUGUACGGCCACAUUGGGACUGAGAUACGGGCCCAGACUCCUACGGGAGGCAGCAGUGGGGAAUAUUGCACAAUGGGCGCAAGCCUGAUGCAGCGACGCCGCGUGGGGGAUGACGGCCUUCGGGUUGUAACUCCUUUCGCUGGGACGAAGCGUUUUGUGACGGUACCUGGAGAAGAAGCACCGGCUAACUACGUGCCAGCAGCCGCGGUAAUU
rnacentral:rRNA from 1 species